rnacentral:rRNA from 1 species
AUUGAACGCUGGCGGCAGGCCUAACACAUGCAAGUCGAACGAGUGGCGGACGGGUGAGUAAUGUCUGGAAAACUGCCUGAUGGAGGGGGAUAACUACGGGAAACGGUAGCUAAUACCGCAUAACAUCGUAUGUGCACAGAGGGGAUAAGCUAGUCGGUGGGGUAUAGGCGCCACAAGGCGACGAUCCCUAGCUGGUCUGCGAGGAUGACCAGCAACACUGGAACUGAGACACGGUCCAGACUCCGACGGGAGGCAGCAGUGGGGAAUAUUGCACAAUGGGCGCAAGUCUGAUGCAGCCAUGCCGCGUGUAUGAAGAAGGUCUUCGGGUUGUAAAGUUCUGUCAGCGGGGAGGCGUUACCCGCAGAAGAAGCACCGGCUAACUCCGUGCCAGCAGCCGCGGUAAUUC